UGGUUAGGACUCCAGAUGGCUGUAGUCCUUAUCAAGCUGAGUACGUGGAGGACAUAGAACUCUUCAGAGGUGGAGCACAGUGGCUGACUAGUGGCUCCCAAAGACAUAAGGCCCUAAUCCUGGAACCUGCAUGUGUGGUUUGAGAUGGCUUUGGAACAACUGAGAGGAUGUGAUUAAGGAUCUUGCGGUGAGAAGAUUAUACCAGAUCUUCCAUGAAUGUUGACUGUGACCCUGAUGAUGGGAAAGAAAAAUAUUGCAUCUUCCCACCGCUAUAGGAGUGACCGUGGUCACAAGCCAAGGAAUGCUAGGAGCUCCCAGUAGCUGAAAAGUGAAGAAUC